AGGAGUCCUGAGCGUUGCUCCUGGUCUGAGGAGAUGCCCAGCCUGGGGGCGGGGGAGGCAGGGGUGCAGGGAAGGUUCUCGCCGACCUACUGUGGGGGGCUUUGUGUGCAGACACAGGUGUUCUGUGCAGAAACGGCCGCCCUCCUGGCAAGAGGUCAGAAUGGAUGGCACCAGAAACCCUUCCCUGUCCUUCCUUGCAGAGGGCCGGUUCUGCACACCGGGGUCUAGGGCUGGGCAGGCCCGAAGCUCACCCUCCCUCGGGUGAUCAUGACAGCUUUCCUUUCCUCUGCAGGAGCCAUGGAGCCUACUCAGGCCUCAUGGCCCAUCCAGAAGCCCUCCGUGGACAGUAGGGUUGUACAGUCAUCUCCAAGGACUGUCAGGUUUGGGUACCUGCUACCCAGGAGCGGCAGGAAUCUUUUCUCGCCAGACAUCUCCUGGAGGACCCAGCACAGCCAUGAAAUAUUGCCGGGGACGGUGACAACGGCCAGUGAGCCAGGAGCCCGGGAGUCUGCUUAGGACUCUGCGUCUUUCUCUCUCUCAGUUCCUCCCCUGCUUGCUCUGUCUGUCUGUCUGUCUCUGUCUUUCUCUCUCUCCCAACAAUAAAUUCACACAAACAAAAAAAAGCCCUAAAAUGACGAGAGAAGA